UGGGGAAUUUUGGACAAUGGGCGAAAGCCUGAUCCAGCAAUGCCGCGUGUGUGAAGAAGGCCUUCGGGUUGUAAAGCACUUUUGUCCGGAAAGAAAUGGCUCUGGUUAAUACCUGGGGUCGAUGACGGUACCGGAAGAAUAAGGACCGGCUAACUACGUGCCAGCAGCCGCGGUAAUACGUAGGGUCCAAGCGUUAAUCGGAAUUACUGGGCGUAAAGCGUGCGCAGGCGGUUGUGCAAGACCGAAGUGAAAUCCCCGAGCUUAACUUGGGAAUUGCAUUGGUGACUGCACGGCUAGAGUGUGUCAGAGGGGGGUAGAAUUCCACGUGUAGCAGUGAAAUGCGUAGAGAUGUGGAGGAAUACCGAUGGCGAAGGCAGCCCCCUGGGAUAACACUGACGCUCAUGCACGAAAGCGUGGGGAGCAAACAGG
rnacentral:rRNA from 1 species